GACAGAGGGUGCAAACGUUGUUCGGAAUUACUGGGCGUAAAGCGCGCGUAGGCGGCUUUGUAAGUUAGAGGUGAAAGCCCGGGGCUCAACCCCGGAAUUGCCUUUAAGACUGCAUCGCUUGAAUCCGGGAGAGGUGAGUGGAAUUCCGAGUGUAGAGGUGAAAUUCGUAGAUAUUCGGAAGAACACCAGUGGCGAAGGCGGCUCACUGGACCGGCAUUGACGCUGAGGUGCGAAAGCGUGGGGAGCAAACAGG
rnacentral:rRNA from 1 species